rnacentral:rRNA from 1 species
AUUGAACGCUGGCGGCAGGCUUAACACAUGCAAGUCGAACGGUAACAGGAAGAAGUUUGCUUCUUUGCUGACGGGUGGCGGGCGGGUGAGCAAUGUGUGGGCAACCGUCUGAUGGAGGGGGAUAACUACUGGAAACGGUAGAUAAUACCGCAUAACGUCGCAAGACAAAAGAGGGUGGCCUACGGGCCUCUUGCCAUCGGAUGUGCCCGGAUGGGAUUAGCUAGUAGGUGGGGUAACGGCUCACCUAGGCGACGAUCCCUAGCUGGUCUGAGAGGAUGACCGGCCACACUGGAACUGAGACACGGUCCAGACUCCUACGGGAGGCAGCAGUGGGGAAUAUUGCACAAUGGGCGCAAGCCUGAUGCAGCCAUGCCGCGUGUAUGAAGAAGGCCUUCGGGUUGUAAAGUACUUUCAGCGGGGAGGAAGGGAUUUAAGUUAAUACCUUUGCUCAUUGACGUUACCCGCUGAAGAAGCACCGGCUAACUCCGUG